rnacentral:rRNA from 1 species
GAUGAACGCUGGCGGCGUGCCUAAUACAUGCAAGUCGAACGAAACUUCUUUAUCACCGAGUGCUUGCACUCACCGAUAAAGAGUUGAGUGGCGAGCGGGUGAGUAACACGUGGGCAACCUGCCCAAAAGAGGGGGAUAACACUUGGAAACAGGUGCUAAUACCGCAUAACCAUAGUUACCGCAUGGUAACUAUGUAAAAGGUGGCUAUACUACCGCUUUUGGAUGGGCCCGCGGCGCAUUAGCUAGUUGGUAGGGUAAAGGCUUACCAAGGCAAUGAUGCGUAGCCGAAUUGAGAGGUUGAUCGGCCACAUUGGGACUGAGACACGGCCCAAACUCCUACGGGAGGCAGCAGUAGGGAAUCUUCCACAAUGGGCGAAAGCCUGAUGGAGCAACGCCGCGUGGGUGAAGAAGGUCUUCGGAUCGUAAAACCCUGUUGUUAGAGAAGAAAGUGCGUGAGAGUAACUGUUCACGUUUCGACGGUAUCUAUCCGGAAAGCCACGGCUAACUACGUG